rnacentral:rRNA from 1 species
AGUGAACGCUGGCGGUAGGCCUAACACAUGCAAGUCGAACGGCAGCACAGUAAGAGCUUGCUCUUACGGGUGGCGAGUGGCGGACGGGUGAGGAAUACAUCGGAAUCUACUUUUUCGUGGGGGAUAACGAAGGGAAACUUACGCUAAUACCGCAUACGACCUACGGGUGAAAGCAGGGGAACUUCGCACCUUGCGCGAAUGAAUGAGCCGAUGUCGGACUAGCUAGUUGGCGGGGUAAAGGCCCACCAAGGCGACGAUCCGUAGCUGGUCGGAGAGGAUGGUCGGCCACACUGGAACGGGGACACGGUCAAGGCUCCUACGGGAGGGAGCAGUGGGGAAUAUGGGACAGUGGGCGCAAGCCUGAUCCAGCCAUACCGCGUGGGUGGAGGAGGCCUUCGGGUUGUAAAGCCCUUUUGUUGGGAAAGAAAAGCAGCAGGUUAAUACCCCGCUGUUCUGACGGUACCCAAAGAAGAAGCACCGGCUAACUUCGUG